rnacentral:rRNA from 1 species
UACGAAGGGGGCUAGCGUUGCUCGGAAUCACUGGGCGUAAAGGGCGCGUAGGCGGCCGAUUAAGUCGGGGGUGAAAGCCUGUGGCUCAACCACAGAAUUGCCUUCGAUACUGGUGGCUUGAGACCGGAAGAGGACAGCGGAACUGCGAGUGUAGAGGUGAAAUUCGUAGAUAUUCGCAAGAACACCAGUGGCGAAGGCGGCUGUCUGGUCCGGUUCUGACGCUGAGGCGCGAAAGCGUGGGGAGCAAACAGG